UCUCUCUUUGCCUACCACCAUCCAUGUAAGAUAUGACUUGCUCCUCCUUGCCUUCCCACCAUGAUUGUGAGACUUCCCUAGCCACAUGGAACUGCUCAUAAGCAGAAAGGACUUGCCUUGUCUCAGAUGAGAUGUUGGACUAUGGACUUUCGAGUUAAUGCUGAAAUGAGUUAAGACUUUGGGGGACUGUGUUGGGAAGGCAUGACUGGUUUUGAAAUGUGCUGUCAUGAGAUUUGGUAGGGGCCAGAUGAGGAAUGAUAUGGUUUGGCUGCAUCCCCACCCAACUCUCAUUUUGAAUUGUAACUCCCACAAUUCCCACGUGUCAUGGGAGGAAUCUGGUGGGAGGUAAUUGAAUCUCGGGCGUGGGUCUUUCCCAUGCUGUUCUCAUGAUAGUGAAUAAGUCUCAUGAGAUCUGGUUUUAAAAAUGGGAGUUUCCCUGCACAAGUUCUCUCUCUUUGCCUGCCACCAUCCAUGUAAGAUGUGACUUGCUCCUCCUUUCCUUCCACCAUGAUUGUGAGGCUUCCCCAGCCACGUGGAAAUGUAAGUCCAUUAAACCUCUUUCUUUUGUAAAUUGCUGAGUCAUGAAUAUGUCUUUAUCAGCAGUGUGAAAACAGACUAAUACAAGGACCUUAUCAAACAAGUAACAAAAGUUGAAGGAGGUCUCUGGGUGAAGGGUACACUAGUGGCUUUUUUAUCCUUCUUGCAAUUUUUUUGGUAAGUUUUAAAUUGUUUAAAAAUAAAAACUAUUUGUAUAAAAUGUUAUGUUCUAACUGAAAUAGCACUUAAUGCUAAAAAUUCUGUCAUCCAAGAGGUAUAAUUUGGAUUACAUUUAUUCCACCUUAUUAUGCAUUGAAAGUCUAUGGAUUAUUGAUGAAGUUGCUCUUCCUAAUGUCAGUGAUAAUUUUCAGGCCACUAAAGAACAUUUUUCAGUCUUUCUCUUACUAGACCUCUCAGUAGCAUUUGACACUUGGUCCUCAUAUAUGUAUUCUAUAUGAUCAAACCAGGAUGACUUUUGUGGCUUUCAAAGACUCUGAAUAUUCUGACUCCUGACUCUCACUGCAAGGUAAAUUCAUAUCUCUUUUAGGCAGAUUUAGGCAUAGAGAGAUCCCUAACCCUAAAAAUUGUAGGAUACAUUCACCCACUUAGAUUGUCCCUCUUCUGAAAUUUACAAAUUAAAACAAUAUUAAUUAAACCAUUAAAUAUGUGUAAGAAAAUUAUACAUGAGUUUUACUUUUUCCGUAAUAUAUACUUUACUCUUCAAGGAAAUUUAUCAUAUUUAGCAAUAGUUCUGCCAUGUUAUUGUGUGGCUACUUUGCUAGUUUUCAGAGUUAAUACUUAAGAUGUCUAUCCUUGGUCACCAUGUUUCAGCCAUACUCUUCUCUAUGCAUCUCAGGAAAACCAAACCCUUUCUUCCUAUUUUUCUCCCUUGCACUUUUCAUGGCUGAGUUAUCCUUACGUUGAAAGUAAACUUUCAACAUAGACUUGUAUACCAAGCUAAAUAAACAGGGAAGAUGGUAAAAUUAAGAUAUUUUCAGAAAAACAAAAAAUGAAAAAAUUUUAAAUUAAAAAUGUAAAAAUAGAAGCACCUUAGUACCAACACAUUCCCAUUAAAAGCCAGCUAAACUAAAGGAUGUGUGUCAAAGAAUGGAACUACGUCCAGAAAAGAGAGAAAUACAAGAUGACAUAGUAACAGAAGAAAUAUGACAAUGUGGUAAAAUCUAAAACUAUAUUGACUACAUAAACUAAAAUGAUAAAAGUGAUAAUGACUAAUAUUAAAGUUAAAAAGGAGAACUAAAACACAGGAUAAAAGUGGACGAUAGCAUGGUAGGGUGCGAUUAGAAGUAAGUUUCAAAUACUAUGAUUAGGAUUAUGUUCAGGAGGAAGAUCAAGAUCAUAAGCUAUAUUGGAAUUUAAUAUGCAUUUUUGAAAAAAAAUAAGGAUAAUCCCUAAACUACUAGAUAUGAAGUACAUACAUUUCAAAGCAAUUGUAGGGGAAAUCAAUAUUUUAAAAGUAUUUGAUCAACCUAAAGGAGGCGGGGGCACGGGGGAAGAAGGAAUAAAGGAAAAUCAAAAAGAAAAAGCAAAAUAAGAUGGUAGAAAUAUAUUAAGAAAUAUACUGAAAAGACAGAACUAUUGUUUUUUUAAAAUCUAGCAAAAUACUAUUUCUAAGAAGCAUGUCUAAAACACAGGAACUAAGAAAAUUUGAAAGUAAAAGAAUUGAGAAAGGUAACCAAGGCAAAUACAACUUUUUAAGAAAAAGAAAAUUAGUAUGGUUACAAUAAUAUACCAAUCUUAGUGCUAUAGUAUAAAUGUAUUGAGAUAAUUUGUAAUAUACAGUAGUGUUACUGUGUGGAGAGGUUCAGGCUUCAAGGUGCUGGUGUCUGAAUUUGAUCCUAUUUAUUGCCCCAGUUGUGUUAUUAAGUUAUUGUGCAUCAUGUUUUUCUUCUUCUCUAAAAUAGAGGAAAUAAUGGUUUGUAUCUCCUAGUAUUAUUGUGAGGAUGAACUGAGUAAAUACAUGUGAAAUUACUGAGCAUAGAGUAACACUCUGAAGCACAGAGAACUCACUGAUACUGAGAAAAAUGAAGUGACAAAAAAUAUUUUAAGAUGACACAAGGAAAAAGGCACUCUGAGAGAUAAGGAAGGGGAGAUGAUAGAAGCCUUCAUCAAUUCCUCCGGAGUAUCUGUGAAUCACAAACCUGGAAGAACUCCUGGCUCAAAGGGACUUGAUUAGUUGAUUAUAGUUCUGCUUCCUCUGCCUCUGAAAACUCACCAAAGUAACAGUGAAGUGAUUUUUAAAAACUCUAAAGGCUGAACCGUCAAAGAAAUAUGAGUACAACUGUUGGGUGAGAGAUUUCAAUGAAGUUUUUAAAGAUAAUGAAGUCGAUGAGAAGUGAAAAUGGAAAUGGUGAAAAACUACUUUAGUACUUGUUGGGAGACAAUGCCAGAAAGGCUCAAAAUCAAGAGGCAGAAUGUAUCAUGAAAAGCAGCAGAUUGUAAGGUAUAGAAGAUAAAACUUGGAGAUUGGCUGGGGCCCCCUACACCACUCAAGGCAGCCAUGUAACCUCCUGUUCCUCCCUAAAAGAUUGCAAGAGUAAUUAUCAGAGAAGCUGAAACUGGGAAUCUCAAUUGGAUUCAGUAUUUGGUGGGGAAGGGUAUGUUUGAAAUUGUGUAGGGGUGAAAAUGGUAUAAUUACCAAUGUUACUGUAAAAUAGACAGUAAUUUGCGGUAACACAAAUCGCACCAGUUGUGUACUGAGUUACUUAAAAAUUGUGACUCACA